UACGUAGGGUGCGAGCGUUGUCCGGAAUUAUUGGGCGUAAAGAGCUUGUAGGCGGUUUGUCGCGUCUGCCGUGAAAAUUCGAGGCUCAACCUCGAACUUGCGGUGGGUACGGGCAGACUAGAGUGUGGUAGGGGAGACUGGAAUUCCUGGUGUAGCGGUGAAAUGCGCAGAUAUCAGGAGGAACACCGAUGGCGAAGGCAGGGCUCUGGGCCACUACUGACGCUGAGAAGCGAAAGCAUGGGGAGCGAACAGG
rnacentral:rRNA from 1 species